GACGUAGGGCGCAAGCGUUGUCCGGAUUUAUUGGGCGUAAAGAGCUCGUAGGCGGCUUGUCGCGUCGACUGUGAAAACCCGUGGCUCAACCAUGUGGUCUGCAGUCGAUACGGGCAGGCUAGAAUUCGGUAGGGGAGACUGGAAUUCCUGGUGUAGCGGUGAAAUGCGUAGAUAUCAAGAGGAACACCUGCGGCGAAGGCGGGUUGCUGGGCCGACACUGACGCUGAAGCGCGAAAGCCAGGGGAGCGAACGGG
rnacentral:rRNA from 1 species